UACGUAGGGUGCAAGCGUUAAUCGGAAUUACUGGGCGUAAAGCGUGCGCAGGCGGUUCUAUAAGACAGAUGUGAAAUCCCCGGGCUCAACCUGGGAACUGCAUUUGUGACUGUAGAGCUGGAGUACGGCAGAGGGGGAUGGAAUUCCGCGUGUAGCAGUGAAAUGCGUAGAUAUGCGGAGGAACACCGAUGGCGAAGGCAGCUCGCUGGCCUGCAACUGACGCUGAGGCGCGAAAGCGUGGGGAGCAAACAGG
rnacentral:rRNA from 1 species